ensembl:lncRNA
UCCCGAGGCGGGGCUCGAGGUGGUUCUGGAUGCCGAGGCGGUGCCCGAGGCUGUGCCCGAUGCCGAGGCGGUGCCUGAGGCGGUGGCCGAGGUGGUUCCCGAUGCAAUGCCCGAUGCCGAGGCGGUGCCCGAUGCCGAGGCGGUGCCCGAUGCGGUGCCAGAGACGGUGCCAGAGACGGUUCCCGAUGUAAUGCCCGAGACCGAGGCUGUGCCGGAGGUCGAGGCGGUGGCCGAUGCCGUUCCGCAGGUCGAGGCGGUGGCCGAUGCCGUUCCGCAGGUCGAGGCGGUGCCCGAGUUGGUUCCAGAGACCGAGGCGGUGCCCGAUGCGCAGGCCGAGGUCGUUCCCGAGGCGGUGCCCGAUGCGCAGGCCGAGGUCGUUCCCGAGGCGGUGCCCUUGUCCAAGGCCGUUCCCGAGGCCGUGCCCGAGGCCGUUCCCGAGGCGGGGGCCUUGUCCAAUGCCGUUCCUGAGGCCGUUCCUGAGGCCAUUCCAGAGGCGGU